AUUGAACGCUGGCGGCAUGCCUUACACAUGCAAGUCGAACGGCAGCGCGGACUUCGGUCUGGCGGCGAGUGGCGAACGGGUGAGUAAUAUAUCGGAACGUACCCAGGAGUGGGGGAUAACGUAGCGAAAGUUACGCUAAUACCGCAUACGUCCUAAGGGAGAAAGCAGGGGAUCGCAAGACCUUGUGCUCAUGGAGCGGCCGAUAUCUGAUUAGCUAGUUGGUGGGGUAAAAGCCUACCAAGGCAACGAUCAGUAGCUGGUCUGAGAGGACGACCAGCCACACUGGAACUGAGACACGGUCCAGACUCCUACGGGAGGCAGCAGUGGGGAAUUUUGGACAAUGGGGGGCAACCCUGGUCCAGCAAUGCCGCGUGAGUGAAGAAGGCCCUCGGGUUGUAAAGCUCUUUUGUCAGGGAAGAAAAGGUUGUGGCUAAUACCCACGACUCAUGACGGUACCUGAAGAAUAAGCACCGGCUAACUACGUGCCAGCAG
rnacentral:rRNA from 1 species